UACGAAGGGGGCUAGCGUUGCUCGGAAUCACUGGGCGUAAAGCGCACGUAGGCGGAUUGCUAAGUUAGGGGUGAAAUCCUGGAGCUCAACUCCAGAACUGCCUUUGAUACUGGCGGUCUCGAGUCCGGGAGAGGUGAGUGGAACUGCGAGUGUAGAGGUGAAAUUCGUAGAUAUUCGCAAGAACACCAGUGGCGAAGGCGGCUCACUGGCCCGGUACUGACGCUGAGGUGCGAAAGCGUGGGGAGCAAACAGG
rnacentral:rRNA from 1 species